rnacentral:rRNA from 1 species
AUGCCUACGGGGGGUAGCAGUGGGGAAUAUUGCACAAUGGGGGAAACCCUGAUGCAGCGACGCCGCGUGAGUGAAGAAGUAUUUCGGUAUGUAAAGCUCUAUCAGCAGGGAAGAAAAAAGACGGUACCUGACUAAGAAGCCCCGGCUAACUACGUGCCAGCAGCCGCGGUAAUCCGUAGGGGGCAAGCGUUAUCCGGAUUUACUGGGUGUAAAGGGAGCGUAGACGGCGCGGCAAGUCUGAAGUGAAAGGCAGGGGCUCAACACCGGGACUGCAUUGAAAACUGUCGUGCUGGAGUGUCGGAGGG